UAAAAUACAAAUGAAAGCAAAGAGAACCGGGCUUUUCUUUACUAAGAUGAAGGGGAUAAAGAGGAAAGUGUCGGGGCUAAAAGUAAGGAUCAGGAAGCUAAAAAAAAAAGCCUUCUUAUUUACGUCAUCUUUCGUAGUAAUUCGUAAUUGCGGACCCAUUGCUACUAAGAACCUAACAGAACUUUUCAAUCUUAACCUGCUUCCUGGGCUUGGCUUGAAAGAGAUCCUACAUCGAGAGAGAGGUCAGUCUCUGCCUUAUUAGUCAGUUGGUUGAAGAUUCUUUUUCCGCUUCGAGGAAUCCUAUAUUAUCUACUUUCUAUGUACUCUUUGCCUUUGGAGAACAUCGCUGCUAUGCUAGAUUUGAAGAUCGAUCUCAGGGGGGGAUCUAAGAUCUAAGAUUCUUGCAUAACUUCAUUUAAUCGAAUUGGGUUCAGACUGCUUAAUAAAGUAAGGCCCCAGAGGGCAAGGGAGAUGGUAUCCUAUCGAUUUGAUCUCUAUGUACUGCUCAAGCUCAUCCCUAAGGGACGGCCCUAGUUAUCAAAGAAAAUUUUCCGAUGAGAGAGAGAUUGCACAGAAGGAGUCCUUCUUUUGAAGGGUGCUCCUAGUAGUCUUCCCAACCAAAAUCCCACCAUUAUUACAUCUUUAAUUCCUUUUAGACUUCUUUCAGCAGCCUGAUGCUUGCCUCCAUCCGAUUCGCCCUCAAAGAGAAAGGGAGAGCAUGUCAAUAUGCCAAGGUAGAAAUAUUCUUUCUGUUUUGCUUGGUAGGAAAUGAAAGCCAAGCACCUUUCCUUUUCGUAGGGACUCUCAUCUCAAGCCUCUAAAACUCUAAAGUAUAAAUUGGAUGUAUGUAACCCUGGCAGAGGAAUUACUUUUAUUUUGAAUUACUACUAUCAAUCAAAGAUCCUAUGCCCAAGAAUAAUGGCAGAAGUUCUUCCAAGCCCACAUUCUGUAUGGGAUCAUUCCAUACGGCUAUAAUAAGAGGUGAGAUUCAAUAUGGUCAGGGAAGGAUGUGAAGCUCUAAACCUGACAAGAGGAUGGGCAGGCUGGGAUAGGACUUCUCGGCAUGGGGAUAGUUUCUCCUUGUGUGAAGACAUUCUAGUAUAGAAAGCUUUUAUUUCAUAUAUUAUACAGAGGGUCAUAUGGUUGGGCUAUUAAGGAUAAGGAGAACAAUAGCCCUGGAUAGUUGCUCUGUGCCUAACAUACGCUCUUUCCACACAAAAUGAAUGUACGCGGAUCCAUAAGAAGGAGGGAGUCUAAAGACUUCCUCCCGAAUAAAUAGGUCCUAGAAGUUGCACUAAGAAAGAGAGGGGCUUUAGGCUAUUGAUUGAAGCUUAGGUCAUGCUAAUAGGAUGGCUGGGCUAGAUAACUUCCUUCCUUACCCUCCCAUCCCUAGGUCAAGUUCAAGAGAGAUUUGCUUAAUCCUUCCUAUCCUUUUAUGAAAAAGCUUCCCCUGCCCUUGGCUAGGACGCUCAUUUGGCUGAAUCCCCUUCCCUUCAUAGCACAAGAGAUAGAAAGACGUAGGCCUUUCGAAAAAAGCUUUUAACGGAAUGGAUAUGGAUGCCUUUCCGACUAUUCAAUUAAUGCUAAAGCAAGAAGGGCUAGUCCUAUAAGAGUUCUGAAAGGAGUCGUUUUGGAGGGCUAGCAAGGUCUAUAACUCGGCCUUGAUUUAACUACCUGCAUUGAUUGACUUCCUCUCUCUUGAACCACNNNNNNNNNNNNNNNNNNNNNNNNNNNNNNNNNNNNNNNNNNNNNNNNNNNNNNNNNNNNNNNNNNNNNNNNNNNNNNNNNNNNNNNNNNNNNNNNNNNNGAUUGAGGAAAGUGUUCUUUCUCUACGAAAUUCUAAGUGAGGUCAUAAUAGUCCUUUCUUUCGAAGUCAACUUUCAGCAUCGAAUGAGAACUUCUCUAAUUAGAUCAAUUUUGAAAAAGGAUUGAAACAUAGUUGAGGGGGAAACUCUUGCUUUCGAACGAACAGAGACAGAGACAAAGGCGAAGGCAGCAGUCUAGCUUUUUCCUUUUGUUUUCGUGUUUCUACUUUCUGUCAGCUAUAACCAAGUUGCUAUUUCGGGGUUAAGGAAGUGAGUUGUAAGUCGCGUAAUCCCCCUGCCUCCCUUGCAGUCAAAACUCUCCUCUAAUACUAAUAGCAGAAAGCUUCCAUGCCCUAUUCUCUAUUAUGGAAAAGGAGCGAAAGCAAACUCGACCAACCCUUGAUCCUAACCCUCGGAGCGAAGGCUAGCCUUUCCAGUUUCUCUCCUUGUGGGUGAAGCAGGGAACGGAACAAGCAAUCAAGUCAGCCAGGUCGGGGUCAUUUCCUACCUAGCCGAGUCAGGGAAAGGGCAAUCUCGCAAGCUUCAGCUUUCCAGUAUAGUUCUUCGCUCGAAUGUCGUUCCCAGGGCCUUCUUCCAUAGGUAUGAUCCCCUCCUUCCAAUCCAAAAGAAGAGAGCUAGGCAGGUUAUAGGUUCAGAAUGAGAAUCUUCGACAGCCUUCAGUUUAGCAAUCAAUUAGAUCCCGACUGACUUAGCUUGAAGCAUGGCUUGCCGUUUCGGGGCUCGAUGCUACUCUUGGGAACAUUGAGACAUCGACUUUCAAGCAUCUCGUAGUUGGUACUGCCAUCAACAGUUCCAACAUGGACAAGGACUGCUGAACAUGGAUAGAACGAGAGUCGAACUCCCAUGUCUCUCUUUUCGGAAAGAAAGACAGAAAGAAACCUAUCUUCCUUGACCAUAAAGCAUAUCUUUUACACCAAUUACUGGAACAUGGAUCCCCUUCGACACACGAUGCUGUCUUCCAUUCUGAUUGAUUAGCUUCUUCCUUCGCGCAAGCGUUUGGUUCGCCCCUUGUUGUGUUGCAUUUUGUGAUCCUCCGCUUCAGCCUGCGUUUUUCGGAUAGCCGGGAUCCGACGUUGAUUUCCGAUUUCAAUGUCAGCUCCAGGUUUUGGGCGGCCCAUCUGGUUAGUUCAGCUAUCACUGCUGGAAGCCCCUGCGGUUGUUCGGCUGCGUACUCCCCGUCCGCUUAUCUCACACUCCCAAAGCAUCUUUCUCUUUUCUAUUUCAUUUUCCUUUCCUGCAUCUUUCUUUCUAUCCAUAGGUCGGCUUCGUGCAGAUAGAUGUUUGCCGGGGGAGAUUGGUGCUCCUUGAGGUAUGCCCUUCCGGUAGGUUGUUCUCUUAUCUGUCUUUUCCAUCCAGUGCCCGCACUGCGUCAGAAAAUCUUCGUCUUCGAUCUCUCUUCGCAACGCAAUAAAGAAGUCUAACAGUUUCUCUCGACAUCUGUCUUUUCUUUUAAGUCAUUGAUCUCAUAUCUAUCAGCAGGGGGGUCUGCCUUCACUAUUAAGCCUACGCCCGUCCAUUCCUUUAGUUCGCUCUCAAUGGGAAUUUUUCUUUCUAGUAAAAAAAGCCAGUGAAAGCUUUACCCCAAAUAGAAUAACCACUUAGAAUAACGAAACAGAUUAUAUUUGUCGAGAAGUGCAAAAUCGUAUGGAUACGAUCCUCGGGGUACUUUUUUCCCUUCCGGAAAGAAUGAAAUGCAUAGGGGACCAUCCUUUUGUUGCGGCAUGCUUCAUCACGCUAACAGCCUAAACUCUUCCUACCUUUGAAUCAUUCCUAUGGUGUAGCUACCCCUCUUUGAUCCAAUCAAAAAUUCAAAAGAAAGACGCAGAAGCCAGUAGUGGACCGUCUGCUAUCGGGACAGCCAGCCCAGUCGGCAUCUCCUUUUCAGGGAGAGCUAAUGUUUGUUGGGUACAAAUUACUUCUUUUAAAUUUGAAUAGAAAUGAAAAUGUUAGUGACAAUAAAAACAUCAAUGGAAAGCAAAAAUGGAAUCUUUCCGACUAUUCAAUUAAUGCUAAAGCAAGAAGGGCUAGUCCUAUAAGAGUUCUGAAAGGAGUCGUUUUGGAGGGCUAGCAAGGUCUAUAACUCGGCCUUGAUUUAACUACCUGCAUUGAUUGACUUCCUCUCUCUUGAACCACUUUGCCA
rnacentral:lncRNA from 1 species